rnacentral:rRNA from 1 species
UUCGGCAACACAGCAGUAUCAAUACUGUCCCGUGGCGAGUGGCAGGACGGGUGAGGAAUACAUCGGAAUCUACCUUUUCGUGGGGGAUAACGUAGGGAAACUUACGCUAAUACCGCAUAAUACCUUCGGGUGAAAGCCGGGGACCUUCGGGCCUGGCGCGGAUAGAUAGAGCCGAUGUCGGAUUAGCUUGUUGGCGGGGUAAAAGCCCACCAAGGCGACGAUCCGUAGCUGGUCUGAGAGGAUGAUCAGCCACACUGGAACUGAGACACGGUCCAGACUCCUACGGGAGGCAGCAGUGGGGAAUAUUGGACAAUGGGCGCAAGCCUGAUCCAGCCAUACCGCGUGGGUGAAGAAGGCCUUCGGGUUGUAAAGCCCUUUUGUUGGGAAAGAAAUCCUACCGGUUAAUAACCAAUGGGGAUGACGGUACCCAAAGAAUAAGCACCGACUAACUUCGUGCCAGCAGCCGCGGUAAUACGAAGGGUGCAAGCGUUACUCGGAAUUACUGGGCGUAAAGCGUGCGUAGGUGGUUGUUUCAAGUCUGCUGUGAAAGCCCUGGGCUCAACCUGGGAAUUGCAUUGGAUACUGGGGCGACUAAAGUGUGGUAAAGGAUAGUGGAAUUUCCGGUGUACAAUGAAUGCGUAGA